rnacentral:rRNA from 1 species
AAUGAACGUUGGCGGCGUGGAUUAGGCAUGCAAGUCGAGCGAGAACCCGCAAGGGGGACAGCGGCAAACGGGGUAGGAAUGAUUGGUGACGUACCCUCGGGACGGGGAUAGCCACGGGAAACUGUGGGUAAUACCCGAUAAUCUCCCAGGUUUGAAGACCUGGGUGCAAAGGUGUGAUUCCACAGGAGGAGCGGCCAAUCUGGUAUUAGCUAGUUGGUAGGGUAACGGCCUACCAAGGCUACGAUGCCUAGGGGGUGUGAGAGCAUGGCCCCCACCACUGGGACUGGGAUACUGCCCAGACACCUACGGGUGGCUGCAGUCGAGAAUCUUCGGCAAUGGGCGAAAGCCUGACCGAGCGACGCCGCGUGCGGGAUGAAGGCCUUCGGGUUGUAAACCGCUGUCAGAGGGGAUGAAGUUCUAGGAGGUUCUCCUUCUAGAUUGACAGAGCCUCAGAGGAAGCACGGGCUAAGUAUGUGCCAGCAGCCGCAGUAACAC